rnacentral:rRNA from 1 species
CGCGCAGGCGGUUUGGUAAGUCAGAUGUGAAAUUCACCGGCUCAACCGGUCGAACUGCAUCCGAUACUGCCAGACUUGAGAUCAGUAGAGGAGAGUGGAAUUCCCAGUGUAGCGGUGGAAUGCGUAGAUAUUGGGAAGAACACCGGUGGCGAAGGCGGCUCUCUGGACUGAUUCUGACGCUGAGGCGCGAAAGCUAGGGGAGCGAACAGGAUUAGAUACCCUGGUAGUCC